GUUACAGGCCAGUUCUGCCAAAGUGCCCGUCUGAUUGGCUGUAUUUUUGGAUUCACUUACUGCCAUGUGUCACAGGCAUACCACCCCAUCUCCUUUUGCUUUCAUAACUCCUAAAUUUGGGAGGUAUGCAAGUGAAUGUAUAUUGGUUACACAAUUGGCUUCAAUGAGUGAAAAAUUAUUGUCAAAGCGUACACAGCCAGCUCCUAAAUAC